rnacentral:tRNA from 1 species
GCCCUCGUAGCUCAGCGGAACCAGAGCAGCGGUUUCCUAAACGCAGGCCGCAGGUUCGAAUGCGAAGCCAACGAAGCGUAGCGCAGUAAUCCUGCCGAGGGCGCCA